rnacentral:rRNA from 1 species
CCUACGGGUGGCUGCAGUGAGGAAUAUUGGUCAAUGGGCGUAAGCCUGAACCAGCCAAGUCGCGUGAGGGAUGAAGGUUCUAUGGAUCGUAAACCUCUUUUAUAAGGGAAUAAAGUGUGGGACGUGUCCGAUUUUGUAUGUACCUUAUGAAUAAGGAUCGGCUAACUCCGUGCCAGCAGCCGCGGUAAUACGGAGGAUCCGAGCGUUAUCCGGAUUUAUUGGGUUUAAAGGGGGCGUAGGCGGCCUUGUAAGUCAGCGGUGAAAGUCUGUGGCUCAACCCUAGAAUUGCCGUUGAAACUGGGGGGCUUGAGUAUGUUUGAGGCAGGCGGAAUGCGUGUUGUCGCGGUGAAAUGCUUAGAUAUCACGCAGAACCCCGAUUGCGAAGGCAGCCUGCCAAGCCAUGACUGACGCUGAUGCACGAAAGCGUGGGGAUCAAACAGGAUUAGAUACCCAUGUAGUC